UACGUAGGUGGCAAGCGUUGUCCGGAUCUACUGGGCGUAAAGAGCGCGCAGGCGGUCAGAUAAGUCGAAUGUGAAAGCCCCCGGCUCAACUGGGGAGGGUCAUUCGAUACUGUUCGACUCGAAGGCAGGAGAGGGAAGUGGAAUUCCCGGUGUAGUGGUGAAAUGCGUAGAUAUCGGGAGGAACACCAGUGGCGAAGGCGACUUCCUGGCCUGUUCUUGACGCUGAGGCGCGAAAGCUAGGGGAGCAAACGGG
rnacentral:rRNA from 1 species